GAGCGAACGCUGGCGGCAGGCUUAACACAUGCAAGUCGAGCGGGCAUCCUUGUGAUGUCAGCGGCAGACGGGUGAGUAACGCGUGGGAACGUGCCCUUCGGUUCGGAAUAACUCAGGGAAACUUGAGCUAAUACCGGAUACGUGCGAGAGCAGAAAGGUUUAUCUGCCGAAGGAUCGGCCCGCGUCUGAUUAGCUAGUUGGUGAGGUUACGGCUCACCAAGGCGACGAUCAGUAGCUGGUCUGAGAGGAUGAUCAGCCACACUGGGACUGAGACACGGCCCAGACUCCUACGGGAGGCAGCAGUGGGGAAUAUUGGACAAUGGGGGCAACCCUGAUCCAGCCAUGCCGCGUGAGUGAUGACGGCCUUAGGGUUGUAAAGCUCUUUUCUCCGGGACGAUAAUGACGGUACCGGAGGAAUAAGCCCCGGCUAACUUCGUG
rnacentral:rRNA from 1 species